ACGCGCACACUGUCCAUCACACAGGUGAAUCAUUUUUGAUUUUUUGACGCGUUUGUCAUCUUGCUGUAAGGAGUUGAAUUUUUUCUUGCGUCGUUUAACUCGUUUAACAACUUUAAUUGCUGUUUGUUUUCUUCCGCUAAAACAAAAGCAAACUUUGUGGCUGAUUUAACAUUACGGCGACGGAGUACGAGAGGACACCUGACCAUACCUGGAGAUAUUUUUUCUUCUAAAUAUUUUACACCAAAAAAAAACAAAAAAACAAAAAAAAAAAACACAACGAUCCAGAGAUUUAAACAUCUCAGAUUGCUGACAGAACAGGAUCUGUCCGACGGAGGGAGAAAGUUUGCCGUCAACAGUCAGUAGAAGCACUAAUAUGACCUUGACCUCCCUUCACCAGAUGGAUAUGGAAACAUCUGACUUGCAUAUGGACGGUGAGACGAGACCGAUGCGGGUGCUGGUGACAGGCGGCAGCGGCCUUGUGGGGAAAGCCAUAGAGCGUGUGGUGAAGCAGGAAGGAGGAGCGAGAGAAGGGGAGGAGUGGAUCUUCCUCAGCUCGAAAGACGCAGAUCUGACAAACCCAGCUGAGACGAGGGCCAUCUUCAAGAAACAUCAGCCCACACACGUUAUUCACCUCGCAGCUGUAGUGGGCGGGCUCUUCAUGCACCUGAGACAGAACCUAGAUUUCCUGAGGAAGAACCUGGCCAUCAACGAUAACGUGCUACAAACGGCUCAUGAGUUCGAUGUGGUGAAAGUCGUCUCGUGUUUGUCCACGUGCAUUUUUCCGGAUAAAACCACCUACCCCAUUGAUGAGACUAUGGUAGGAAUAAACCGUGAACCCUAAAAGCCCCUCCCACCUUUGGACAUCAUCCUGGCAGCUGUGAAAAGUGUGUGUGUGCAGGAUUGAGGGUUGAGAACAUAGAGGAGGAAGGGGCCCCAUAUUCACAGAGGAACAAGAGAGAGCUAUUAUAAACAUGGUUUUGGCCAAUAAUGCGAUAUGUCUUAGAGAAAUUCAGACAGACAUCCUGAAUGACCACACAGUUUUCAGUAAUGUCCAUCAGGUCUCUCUAACAACACUGGGGCGAAUCCUUAAAAAGCAUCACAUCCAGAGGAAACAACUGUACCGAGUGCCAUUGGAAAAAAAUUCUGAAAGAGUAAAAGACCUACGGCAUGAAUAUGUGGAGAUGAGGCUGGGUUCAACCUGACUAAAGUAAGAAGAAGAGGGAGAAACAUCAUUGGCCAUAGAGCUAUUUUGAAUGUCCCGGGCCAACGUGGAGGCAACAUCACAGUGUGCUGCAAUCACACAGAAUGGGAUCCUACACCGCCAUGCCAAGUUAGGUCCUUACAACACGGCCCACAUUCUCACAUUUUUAGACAGACUUCACAACACUGUCACAGCAGAACAACAAAUGGAUGCCAAGCAGAUGAGACACACUGUCAUCUGGGACAUGUAUCUUUCCACUGAUCUGCUCUUGUCCAAAACUGGUUUCAUGAUCAUCCACAAUUUUCACUCCAAUACCUCCCACCAUACUCUCCCUUCCUCAACCCCAUUGAAGAGUUUUUUUCGGCAUGGCGGUGGAAGGUUUACGAUCUCCAGCCCUAUGUCAGGAUACCCCUCAUUCCAGCCAUGGAGGAGGCCUGUGGCCUAAUUGAUGCAGGGUCUGUGCAAGGAUGGAUUCACCAUUCAAGACACAAACAUAAGUUGUACUUAAAACAUAAGGUGUAAACUGUCACGCACUGAUCUUCUUCAUAGAUCCAUAACGGUCCUCCUCAUGAGUCCAACUCGGGUUAUGCCUACGCCAAGAGGAUGGUUGACGUAUAUUAGUGAAAAAAAUUAAAUUAGUGAGAAAAAGUCAGAAAUUAUGAGUAGCGAAAAAAUGUUAGUGGCUUCACCCUGUAAAACCAUUCCUGUUAUGGGGGUCGUCUCAUUGUUGCCCAUCUAGUGCACGUGUUGUUAAUUUCAGUAACACCAAAGCAGCUGAAACUGAUUAACAACCCUCUCUGCUACUUCACUGACCAGGUCAAUAUCCCAGGAGUUUAAUUGACUUGAUUCCAUACUCUGAUUAAAAAGUGUUCCUUUAAUUAUUUUGAGCAGUGUAUAAAUAAAUGAUAAAAAUAUUUUUUGAACAGGAACAGGUUACACCCCUGUCUGUUUUUCUUAGCAUUCAGUAAAUAAAAUUAUAAACGACUGUGUGAAUUGUGUGAAUUUACAUUGCUGUUAGUGUUGGGUUACACUUUACAAUUUACUUUGAAAACCCAAAUAUGGUUUAAAUUAAUUUAUAAUUCUCUGAAAAAAUCUUCAAGAACUGCAAGAACUUUAAACAUAUAAAAUAAACAGAACAUUAAGCAAUAAUUUAUUAAUUAAUGUUUGGACACACUGGAGGACAGAACACAUAAAUUCAUGAAGAUCUUUCAGAUUGGGACACAGUGUUAGAAAUCAAGUACAGUACCUCCUGUAACCAGUAGAUGGCAGUCUUAAUCAUGUCUUGGAAAGCACUACUACAUGUUUGUCUUAAUAUACUUAUGAGGACAUUCUACUGAUAUCAUUAUUUAUACAGAUAAUUAACACCUGAAUUUAAUCAUAACCUUAACCACUUGUAUUUUUUUUUUUAACCUUUUUACUUUUCACAUUACAGCUGUGAACAACCCAGCCAACAUUGCAGAGUGGGGCCAAUGUGGGCACCAUAUGGGCUUGAAACAUGGGCCCUAAAUGGGUUUAUCCGCGGGUUCCACAUGGGCCCUACCUAAAUUAGCCCAUAUGAGUCUCACGUAUAUUCUGACUGGGGCAAAUGUGGGGCCCAACUGGGCAACAUACAUGAGGCCCAUAUUGGUCCCACUUUGUGAAGCCCAUGUGGUAUAUACAAAGGCCCAUUAUAGGUUUAUCAGUGGGUACUGGACUGGCCCCACAUGGGUGUGUGUGUGUUGAGGCAUCUCAUUUAUAUCCAAACAGUUUCAUGCUCAAUUCUUAUUUUUAAUUUACCUGUGAUUUUUACAUUCU